rnacentral:rRNA from 1 species
GAUUUCUGGCUUGGUGCGCCGCUCCUGGAACCGUAAAGGAACCAUGUGGGUUGUGUGCGCCUUCCAUCCUUCUGGUUAACCAUUGGCACUUUACUGGGCUGAUGGCAAUCCAGAUCUUUUACUUUGAAAAAAUUAGAGUGUUUAAAGCAGGCUUUUGCUGUGAAUACAUUAGCAUGGAAUAAUAAUUUAGGACUUUUUUCCUAUUUUAUUGGUUUCUAGGGAUUAAGUAAUGAUUGAUAGGGAUAGUUGGGGGUGCUAGUAUUCAGCGGCCAGAGGUGAAAUUCUUGGAUUCGCUGAAGACUAACUUAUGCGAAAGCAUU